UAUCAUUUUAAACCUAAAACCAUGUAAUAAUUUAGGGAUUGAGAAUUCUUGUAAUAACACACUACCCAAAUAAUGGUUUGACUUUUCAGAUGUGAGAAGCUAAGAAGGUCGCCCUCCCGAUUCCCGCACCAAAGCCUCUCCGGCCACCUCCGCCGCCGCGAAUUGUCUCAAUAGGAAGAAGUCUUCGGACAGAAAAGAAAAGCUCGAAAAUUAUCUGCGUGUGUAAGUAAGUAAGUGUGAGGAUCUAUGGACCUGAAAUCUGAAGAUUUCAUGGACAAGCAUUGACAAAGGGCUUGGCGAUGGCCUUUCCCAUCAUCGUCGAAACAUGCUCCUUCGGCUUAGGAACCGGGCUCCCCUUCUUAACAUAGCUGCUGCUGCUGCUGUUGUUGUUAGAACUCAUGGCUGCUGCUGCUCUUUUCUUUUUUAACUUAUGCUUCUUUCUGAACUGUCUAUGUUCUUUCUGUUAUGUGUUUGGUGUGAUUCUCAAACACACUUUGGAGGUUUUAUAUAGGAAAUUUGGAGGUCUAGUUUUUCCUCAAAAAAAAAAAAAAAAAAAAAAAGAAAAUGGUAAUUUUGCAGUGACUACAUCCUCAUUUCAUGGAAGGAAUAGAUGAAAUUUAAGGUUGUGUU